rnacentral:rRNA from 1 species
ACAUCUGGCCUAAAUACUCUAAAGUCACCAGAUCCUGUCAGAUCCUGGAAACUAAGUAGGGUCAACCUUGAUUAAUACUUGCAUGGGAGACCACCAAUAAAUAUCAGUGCUGUGUGCU